rnacentral:rRNA from 1 species
UACGUAGGGACCAAGCGUUGUUCGGAUUUACUGGGCGUAAAGGGCGCGUAGGCGGCGUGGUAAGUCACUUGUGAAAUCUCUGAGCUUAACUCAGAACGGCCAAGUGAUACUGCUGUGCUAGAGUGCAGAAGGGGCAAUCGGAAUUCCUGGUGUAGCGGUGAAAUGCGUAGAUAUCAAGAGGAACACCUGAGGUGAAGACGGGUUGCUGGGCUGACACUGACGCUGAGGCGCGAAAGCCAGGGGAGCAAACGGG